rnacentral:rRNA from 1 species
GAUGAACGCUGGCGGCGUGCCUAAUACAUGCAAGUCGAGCGAACAGAUGAGGAGCUUGCUCCUCUGACGUUAGCGGCGGACGGGUGAGUAACACGUGGAUAACCUACCUAUAAGACUGGGAUAACUUCGGGAAACCGGAGCUAAUACCGGAUAAUAUAUUGAACCGCAUGGUUCAAUAGUGAAAGACGGUUUUGCUGUCACUUAUAGAUGGAUCCGCGCCGCAUUAGCUAGUUGGUAAGGUAACGGCUUACCAAGGCGACGAUGCGUAGCCGACCUGAGAGGGUGAUCGGCCACACUGGAAGUGAGACACGGUCCAGACGCCUACGGGAGGCAGCAGUAGGGAAUGUUCCGCAAUGGGCGAAAGCCUGACGGAGCAACGGCGCGUGAGUGAUGAAGGUCUUCGGAUCGUAAAACUCUGUUAUUAGGGAAGAACAAAUGUGUAAGUAACUAUGCACGUCUUGACGGUACCUAAUCAGAAAGCCACGGCUAACUACGUG